UACGAAGGGGGCUAGCGUUGCUCGGAAUCACUGGGCGUAAAGCGCACGUAGGCGGCUCUUUAAGUCAGAGGUGAAAUCCCAAGGCUCAACCUUGGAACUGCCUUUGAUACUGGGGAUCUCGAGUCCGGAAGAGGUGAGUGGAACUGCGAGUGUAGAGGUGAAAUUCGUAGAUAUUCGCAAGAACACCAGUGGCGAAGGCGGCUCACUGGUCCGGUACUGACGCUGAGGUGCGAAAGCGUGGGGAGCAAACAGG
rnacentral:rRNA from 1 species